CAGUCGCCGCGGUAAUACAGAGGGUGCAAGCGUUAAUCGGAAUUACUGGGCGUAAAGCGCGCGUAGGUGGUUUGUUAAGUUGGAUGUGAAAGCCCCGGGCUCAACCUGGGAACUGCAUCCAAAACUGGCAAGCUAGAGUACGGUAGAGGGUGGUGGAAUUUCCUGUGUAGCGGUGAAAUGCGUAGAUAUAGGAAGGAACACCAGUGGCGAAGGCGACCACCUGGACUGAUACUGACACUGAGGUGCGAAAGCGUGGGGAGCAAACAGGAUUAGAUACCCCCGUAGUCCCUGUCUCUUAUAA
rnacentral:rRNA from 1 species